rnacentral:rRNA from 1 species
GAUGAACGCUAGCUACAGGCUUAACACAUGCAAGUCGAGGGGAAACGAUAUUGGAAGCUUGCUUCCGAUAGGCGUCGACCGGCGCACGGGUGAGUAACGCGUAUCCAACCUGCCCAUCACUUGGGGAUAACCUUGCGAAAGUAAGACUAAUACCCAAUGACGUCCAUAGAAGACAUCUGAAAGGGAUUAAAGAUUUAUCGGUGAUGGAUGGGGAUGCGUCUGAUUAGCUUGUUGGCGGGGUAACGGCCCACCAAGGCGACGAUCAGUAGGGGUUCUGAGAGGAAGGUCCCCCACAUUGGAACUGAGACACGGUCCAAACUCCUACGGGAGGCAGCAGUGAGGAAUAUUGGUCAAUGGGCGAGAGCCUGAACCAGCCAAGUAGCGUGCAGGAUGACGGCCCUAUGGGUUGUAAACUGCUUUCAUAAGGGAUUAAAGUGAGCCUCGUGAGGCUUUUUGCAUGUACCUUAUGAAUAAGGACCGGCUAAUUCCGUGCCAGCCGCCGCAGUAA